AAACAUUUUUGAUCAUGUAAUAAAAGGGAUACCUCAUACAUAAUGUCAAGCACAAUAUCUAAACCUCAAUAUCAUUACAUGACUGAAACUUAUACUUUUACAUAACAUUAAUACAUUUAUCAUGUCCACACUAUCUAUUACAUAAACCAGACUUCAAUACUCUUAUGGAUCUCCUGGUCUACCCUGUACCUGCAAUCUUGGGGAAAAGGGAGAGGGAUGAGCUACUAGAGCCCAGUGAGCAGAAUAAUGAAAACAUUUAAAUCAUAUGGAUCAUGGAAUGCAUCACAUCACAGCUAAUCACAUCAAGGAUGAACUUGUCCCCAAUAGCCCUCUACAUGGUCCAACUGUGCCAGAACGUAGAAUGGGUCCUGGUCUUUCUCUUACAUAGUGCCAGCGAACGUAGAAUGGGUCCCACUGGUCUUACUUUCCGUACCGUACAUAUCACAUCGUCAUAUCAUAGAUCGAGGGCUAUGGAUCAUCCAACAUUCAUC
rnacentral:lncRNA from 1 species